GGUCCGCCUCAUGCUACACUUUAUCUGACAGCGGCAGGCAAAGCCAGCAUGAAUUUUCUCAAAGUGAACAGGACCAGUUCUUAAAGAUCAUGAGCCACUCUCAGCGUGGGAGGAUGGAGGAACAGCGCUGCUACCUCAGUCCCAGCCAGAUGUCCCUUCUGACUGCAAAUCUCCCCGAACCUGGGAAUAAAGCGCCCUCGUUUUCUUUACAGGACCUUCCUGCCCGUCAGGCCUGUCAUAUGCCUGCUGGUGGUGAGGUGCUUUUAGUUCACUGGGCCUCUUGCAAUGGAACAAGUUUUAGAUAUUGCUAAGCCUAACGCAUCUUAAACAGCAUCAUGGAUAAACAGGAUAAAAAAAUAGAAUGUAAAUGCAUCUAUAUUUAUACACAUUUUUCUUUGCUUGUUUGCAGAGUUUUUACAUUUGUUCUACUUUACAAAUCUACAUCAUUUUAAAGAAUUCUCCUUAUAAUAUCUUAUAAGGUGUCAUGCUGAACUGUAUAUGGCCAGAGUGGAGAAGGGACAGGGAUGUAAAGUCACACUGGUGUGUGUGUGGAAAAGACAAUCUGGAUUUGCUGACAUCAAGGGGGCCAAGAGGGUGGUGGUCUUAGUUUAGUGGGUGGGCAUCUCAGAGUAAAGGUAGAUGCUCUAAUGCUUUGAUUAAGGGAUGGUAGCAUCGUAAUGGGUAAAAAAAAAAAGUCCCGGGUUCAAACCCCACUUACUACCACUGUGUCCACGAGUGAGACAUUUAACCCUGAGUGUCUCCAGGGGGACUGUCCCUGUAACUACUGAUUGUAAGUCGUUCCGGAUAAGGUCUUCUAGUAAAGACCUUAAAUGUAAAUGCAAUGAGGUAACCUUUAGCUGAUUAUAUAAAUGCUAAUACACUAUACACAGUUAUAUAUUAUACAUAUACAAAUUAAAUCCAACUUAAAAGUCUUUGAUGUUCCUUUUUCUUGACUACGCAGAUCAAGAUCCUGAACAGUUUUUUAAAAUGGUGACCAACUCUCAGAGUCGCCGACUUGAUGACCAGCGCACAUUUCUACCAUACCUGCCAGGGAUUCAGGGAUCUUCCAGCUCUAAGAAUCAUGAUGAGAUCAAAUCAUCAACUGGAGAAGAAGUUGAGAAGUUGUGCAAAGUGGUGUCCAGGGUCCAGGGCUCCAGAAUGGAAGAGCAGCGUUGCAAUGCACCUGACAUCAUGAUGAAACUGGCCUCUCCAGGCCCACCAAGAAAAAGUCAAUCCAGACCAGCUUCUCCCUCCAGCCACUCACUGCAGGUGCCUUCACUUGACAUCAGGGUUACUGUCAUCUAUAAGUAG
ensembl:lncRNA